rnacentral:ribozyme from 13 species
UCUUUGUCUUUGUCUUUUUCUUUUUCCUUUUCUUUUUCUGGGGGAGGAAGGACAGGGGGGUACUCUUCAGCUGAACAGAAGGGAAAAGAGAG